CCUACGGGAGGCAGCAGUGGGGAAUAUUGGGCAAUGGAGGAAACUCUGACCCAGCAACGCCGCGUGAAUGAUGAAGGUCUUCGGAUUGUAAAGUUCUUUUCUAAGGGAAGAAGAAAGUGACGGUACCUGAGGAAUAAGCCUCGGCUAACUACGUGCCAGCAGCCGCGGUAAUACGUAGGGGGCGAGCGUUAUCCGGAAUGACUGGGCGUAAAGGGUGCGUAGGUGGGUUGGCAAGUUAGUAGCGAAACUCCAGGGCUCAACCUUGGAACUGCAUUUGAAACUGUUUGACUUGAGUGCAGGAGAGGCAAACGGAAUUCCUAGUGUAGCGGUGGAAUGCGUAGAUAUUAGGAGGAACACCAGUGGCGAAGGCGGGUUGCUGGACUGUAACUGACGCUGAGGCACGAAAGCGUGGGGAGCAAACAGGAUUAGAUACCCGAGUAGUC
rnacentral:rRNA from 1 species